rnacentral:lncRNA from 1 species
CUCUAGCCACCUUCCAAGCACCUUUCUCACUUCCAUUUUCCACUCCACGAGUGCUUCUCUCUCAUCACAUUACAUCACCUUUGCAUCAGUCCACUUCAGACCAGUGGCGUCAGCGUACCUCAACCACGCGUCCUCCUGCUUCUCGUGCCAGCAUCACUACGACUUCAUUUCUCCUUCGUACGCAUCAGAUCCACAUUCGCAGAACCACAUUCCAUUUCUCUCUCACGCGAACACAACUUCGUUUUCUCUCGAGAGAGCUCACCUUCAUCGCCUACCAUAUUUUCCUCACUGUAAGUCUUGAUUUCAGUCACAGAAUCAUCAUCUUCUUCAUAGUUCCUCCAUCUUAUCCUGUUGUCUUCCAUAAACACCGAAUAGAACUCUGGCCUCCGCUAGGGUUUCUCCAUCUUUCAUCGUUUUUUUUUUUAUUUUAGCCGAUUAAACUCUCUAUUGAACCGAUCCAAACCUUUUUCACCGAUUAAACUUUGAUUCCCACCGUUUAAUUGGUCCAAAUUGAGUUUUCCCCUUCUUCUAGGGUUUCGUCGGUCUAGGAUUAGGUACUCUGAGUUCCUUUCUCAGAUUUGAUCCGUUCUCUUCCAAUUUCUCUCGGUCAAAAGAGUAUUCAAGUUUUCCG